rnacentral:rRNA from 1 species
GUCGAGGGGCAGCAUAUGGAUUGCUUGCAAUCCAUGAUGGCGACCGGCGCACGGGUGCGUAACGCGUAUGUAACUUGCCUUAUGCAGGAGGAUAACCCGAAGAAAUUCGGCCUAAUACUCCAUAAGUGUCAGAGAGGCAUCUUUCGGGCAUGAAAGAUUUAUCGGCAUAAGAUAGACAUGCGUGACAUUAGCUAGUCGGUGAGGUAACGGCUCACCGAGGCGACGAUGUCUAGGGGUUCUGAGAGGAAGGUCCCCCACACUGGUACUGAGACACGGACCAGACUCCUACGGGAGGCAGCAGUGAGGAAUAUUGGUCAAUGGACGGAAGUCUGAACCAGCCAUGCCGCGUGCAGGAUGACGGCUCUAUGAGUUGUAAACUGCUUUUGUACGAGAAUAAUAGUUCUUACGUGUAGGGAUUUGAAUGUAUCGUACGAAUAAGGAUCGGCUAACUCCGUGCCAGCAGCCGCGGUAAUACGGAGGAUUCGAGCGUUAUCCGGAUUUAUUGGGUUUAAAGGGUGCGUAGGCUGUCGGAUAAGUUAGAGGUCAAAUGUCGGGGCUUAACCCCGUGCCUGCCUCUGAUACUGUUCGACUGGAGAGCGGAUGCAGCAGGCGGAAUGAGUAGUGUAGCGGUGAAAUGCUUAGAUAUUACUCAGAACACCGAUUGCGCAGGCAGCUUGCUAAUCCGCAUCUGACGCUGAUGCACGAAAGCGUGGGUAGCGAACAGGAUUAGAUACCCUGGUAGUCCACGCAGUAAACGAUGAUAACUCGUUGUCGGCGAUAUACAGUCGGU